rnacentral:rRNA from 1 species
AACGAACGCUGGCGGCAGGCUUAACACAUGCAAGUCGAACGCCCCGCAAGGGGAGUGGCAGACGGGUGAGUAACGCGUGGGAAUCUACCUAGAACUACGGAACAACUGAGGGAAACUUCAGCUAAUACCGUAUACGCCCUACGGGGGAAAGAUUUAUCGGUUCUAGAUGAGCCCGCGUAAGAUUAGCUAGUUGGUGGGGUAAUGGUCUACCAAGGCGACGAUCUUUAGCUGGUCUGAGAGGAUGAUCAGCCACACUGGGACUGAGACACGGCCCAGACUCCUACGGGAGGCAGCAGUGGGGAAUAUUGGACAAUGGGCGCAAGCCUGAUCCAGCCAUGCCGCGUGAGUGAUGAAGGCCUUAGGGUUGUAAAGCUCUUUCAGUGGGGAAGAUAAUGACGGUACCCACAGAAGAAGCCCCGGCUAACUUCGUGCCAGCCGCCGCAGUAAGAC